rnacentral:lncRNA from 1 species
UUUCAACAAACAAAAUUUCAUUUCUUUCUUUCCUUCUUUGAUGCUCUCGGCCGAAUACCAUAGCCCACCCACCAACACUUUCAAUUUUCCAUCUUGCCAUCCCACAUACAUAUCAAGGUGCUAGAGUUCAUAUAAGGAGACCCGGUGCUUACGGAUUGCCAAGGACCUCCCCACAACGCUAUUAACCACCUACUUUUUCGUCUAGUUUCUUCCCUAGCCUCGAGCUAGUAGGGAACGGAUCGUCAUCUAACCACGCUAGGUCAUGUUCAUGGAACAUGAACUAGCACUAUGUUUAGUGUUACGACGUUAAUUAAGCAAAUCCGAUGAAGUUUACGAUGCAAGGAACGCAAAGUUGUGAGUUCAUGCUCCCCCUUUUCUCUUAACUGUUUUCAGUUUUAUAACUUCGGGGGUGAAAUACAUGUUACAAAUAUUUUUAUGUUUAACAAAUGGUAUGAUAAUAAAAAGCACACUUGGUGAGAACGAGUAACAAGUGUGUAGCGAUAUAAGAAUACAAGAAACACACUUGGUGAGAAACGAGUACCAAGUGUGAUGUGAUAUAAGAAUACGGGAAGCGCGCUUGGUGAGAAACGAGUACCAAGUAGGAUGCGCUAUGAAAAAUGAUGCGAGGAAUCGUGUCACGAAUAGGGUACAGAAGCACCAUUAAUCAACAAUAUACCUAGACCGCAGAACAAAAGGUUAGAUCUAACGGGUGCCGGGCAGCCACACUCUCGGUGAGGGCGAGUACCGAGUAGUGCUUUUGUGUCUCAGAAUAUACCAAUUAAAUGCCUAAGGUUUGGUGACUUCCUAUGUCGUGUCACAUGUUAAUGGCUUUGCAACCCAUUAACAAUCCUGAUACUUACAGGAAUACCUUAUUUACAUAAAAUUUCAUACCAUACUAAAACUUGAUGAAUACUUGAGUACGUGGGGUACUCAAGAAAAUGGGAAUUAUACUUGAGUACGUAGGGUACUCAAGAAGAAUUUGAAUUAUACAUGAGUACGUGGUGUACACAUGAAACUGGAUUUAUAUAUAUGAAAACUUGAUUUAUUCACAAACUAUGUUUCCAUACAAAGUAUACAAACGUGAAAUACAAAACUGCAUGAAUUCACACCAACAUUUUGUUGACGUUUUUUCCAAAACUCACAUGUAUUUCAGGUAACUAGGAUGGAUGUGCGCGUGGUCUUACUUAUGCUCUUGGAUGUCGCUUAUGUUUAUCUUUAAAUAAAGUUGUAAACUUUUAAGACAAUGUUUUAUGUGACCUAGCGAUGUAAACGCUAAGCGUAUGUUUCAAAUUAUGGUAUUUGAAGUUAUUUUC